AAGUCGUAACAAGGUUUCCGUAGGUGAACCUGCGGAAGGAUCAUUACCGAGUGUUUGGAUGCCCCUUCUUGGGGUGUCCGUCCUCCCAUCCGUGUCUAUUGUACCCUGUUGCUUCGGCGGGCCCGCCCUCUUUUGUGGCCGCCGGGGGGCUUCUGCCCCCGGGCCCGCGCCCGCCGGAGACCUCUCAACCAUUGAACACUGUCUGAAGGUUGCAGUCUGAGUACCGAUAAAGCAAAUCGUUAAAACUUUCAACAACGGAUCUCUUGGUUCCG
rnacentral:misc_RNA from 1 species